rnacentral:rRNA from 1 species
AACGAACGCUGGCGGCAGGCUUAACACAUGCAAGUCGAACGGACGUAGCAAUACGUUAGUGGCAGACGGGUGAGUAACGCGUGGGAAUAUGCCCUUUAGUUCGGAAUAACACAGAGAAAUUUGUGCUAAUACCGGAUAAUCCCGAGAGGGGAAAGAUUUAUCGCUGAAGGAGUAGCCCGCGUCUGAUUAGCUAGUUGGUGAGGUAAUGGCUGACCAAGGCGACGAUCAGUAGGUGGUCUGAGAGGAUGAUCAGCCACACUGGGACUGAGACACGGCCCAGACUCCUACGGGAGGCAGCAGUGGGGAAUAUUGGACAAUGGGGGCAACCCUGAUCCAGCCAUGCCGCGUGAGUGAUGAAGGCCUUAGGGUUGUAAAACUCUUUUGUCCGGGAAGAUAAUGACUGUACCGGAAGAAUAAGCCCCGGCUAACUUCGUGCCAGCAGCCGCAGUAA